AAUGAACGCUGGCGGCGUGCCUAACACAUGCAAGUCGAGCGAACACACCAGGAGCUUUCGCCCCUGACGUUAUCGGCGGACGGGAGAGUAACACGUGGAUAACCUACCUAUAAGACUGGGAUAAUUACGGGAAACCGGAGCUAAUACCGGAUAAUAUAUUGAACCGGAUUGUUCAAGAGUUAAAGUCGGUUUUUGUUUCGGUUAUAGACGAAUCCGGGUCGCAUUAGUUAGUUGGUACGGUAACGGCUUAACAAGGCGACGAUGCGAAGCCGACCUGAGAGCGUGAUCGGACAGCUUGGAACAGAGAAUCGGUAGCGACUCCGACGGGGGGACGCAGCCGGGAAUCUUACGCAAGGCGGGAGAGCCUGACAGAGCAAAACCGGGUGAGUGAUGAUGGACCUAGGCCGGGAAAGUUAUGAUAUUCGGAGAGAAGAAAAGCGCUAGUACCCAUGAACGUAAUGACGGUACCUAAAGAAUAAGCCCCGGCUAACUCCGUG
rnacentral:rRNA from 1 species